UCCGUAGGGUGCAAGCGUUGUCCGGAAUCAUUGGGCGUAAAGCGCGCGUAGGUGGUCAUGUAAGUCCGCUGUGAAAGUCAAAGGCUCAACCUUUGAAAGCCGGUGGAUACUGCAUGACUAGAGUACGGAAGAGGCGAGUGGAAUUCCUGGUGUAGCGGUGGAAUGCGCAGAUAUCAGGAGGAACACCAAUAGCGAAGGCAGCUCGCUGGGACGUUACUGACACUGAGGCGCGAAAGCGUGGGGAGCGAACAGG
rnacentral:rRNA from 1 species